UUGACCUCGGAUCANGUAGGGAUACCCGCUGAACUUAAGCAUA
rnacentral:rRNA from 1 species